rnacentral:lncRNA from 1 species
GUCCUUAGCCCUGAGCCCUAAGCAUUAUGCGUUAAACCAGCACCCUAAGAACUAAGCUCUGACCCCUAAGCCCUAGGGCCUAGGGCUUAGGUGCAAAGCCCUAAAUCCUAAACUCUAAACACUAAGCUCGAAACCCUAAAUCAUAAACCGUAAACCCUAAAACUUUAAAUACCUAAACCUCUAAACCCUAGGCCCUAAGCCCUAUGUCCUUAGCCC